rnacentral:misc_RNA from 1 species
GGACUACUGGGGUAUCUAAUCCUGUUUGCUCCCCACGCUUUCGUGCCUCAGUGUCAGUGCUGGUCCAGGUAGUCGCCUUCGCCACAGAUGUUCCUCCCGAUCUCUACGCAUUUCACUGCUACACCGGGAAUUCCACUACCCUCUACCGCACUCUAGCCUGCCAGUAUCCAAUGCAAUUCCCAGGUUGAGCCCAGGGCUUUCACAUCAGACUUAACAAACCACCUACGCACGCUUUACGCCCAGUAAUUCCGAGUAACGCUUGCACCCUUCGUAUUACCGCGGCUGCUGGCACAC